rnacentral:rRNA from 1 species
AUGAACGCUAGCUACAGGCUUAACACAUGCAAGUCGCGGGGCAGCAUGGGGGUUGCUUGCAAUCCCCGAUGGCGACCGGCGCACGGGUGAGUAACGCGUAUCCAACCUGCCCUUCACCACGGGAUAACCCGGCGAAAGUCGGACUAAUACCGUAUGUUGUCCAUUGACGGCAUCCGAUUUGGACGAAAGGUUUGGCGGUGAAGGAUGGGGAUGCGUCCGAUUAGCUGGACGGCGGGGUGACGGCCCACCGUGGCGACGAUCGGUAGGGGUUCUGAGAGGAAGGUCCCCCACACUGGAACUGAGACACGGUCCAGACUCCUACGGGAGGCAGCAGUGAGGAAUAUUGAUCAAUGGGCGUAAGCCUGAACCAGCCAAGUAGCGUGCAGGAUGACGGCCCUAUGGGUUGUAAACUGCUUUUAUGCGGGGAUAAAGUGGCCCACGUGUGGGUUUUUGCAGGUACCGCAUGAAUAAGGACCGGCUAAUUCCGUG